UGAGGAAUAUUGGUCGAUGGGCGCAAGCCUAAACCAGCCAUCCCGCGUGCAGGAAGACGGCCCUAUGGGUUGUAAACUGCUUUUCCAGAGGGAGAAACUUGCGCACGUGUUGCGCAAUUGACGGUACCCUGGGAAUAAGCAUCGGCUAACUCCGUGCCAGCAGCCGCGGUAAUACGGAGGAUGCGAGCGUUAUCGGGAUUCAUUGGGUUUAAAGGGUGCGUAGGCGGACUAUUAAGUCAGUGGUGAAAUCCUGCAGCUUAACUGCAGAACUGCCAUUGAUACUGAUAGCCUUGAGUUUGGUUAAGGUAGGCGGAAUGUGUAAUGUAGCGGUGAAAUGCUUAGAUAUUACACAGAACACCAAUUGCGUAGGCAGCUUACUGAGCCGACACUGACGCUGAGGCACGAAAGCGUGGGGAUCGAACAG
rnacentral:rRNA from 1 species